GUCCAACACAUAUUCUGGGGCCUAAACCCCAUGGGAAGAAGGAGGCUAAAUGCCUGCGAGGCUCAAUAAAUCUCUGAGGAUUAAACUUGUCAGCAUCUUCUCCCCAUAUCCCAGGAUCAUGGUGGGUGGCAAUUACAACAAGAGCAAGUUGUGUAUCGCCGGGAAUGUCAAGAUCGCUUAGCUUAACAUCUUUGCAGGUUCUCCUCAUCAGCAUUGUGACUGGAGCGUAGAGUCUAAGCGUUUCAUUUAUUAUCAUGUUUAUAAUUUUAAGUUGGCUAAGAUUAUCUGCAGUGGGAUGUUCAUUGUCUUUGCAAACAAGAUUGAUUUCUUCUCUGGCCUUUGUUUGCCAAUCUUGAUGCAUUGCUAGAAGUACAAGUGCCCAAGUUAAACUAUUAGCACUUGUUUCCUUGCCUGCAA
rnacentral:misc_RNA from 1 species